rnacentral:lncRNA from 10 species
GCCACUGUGCCCGGCCCAGGCUCUACUUCUAAUUCUAGUUCUCUUGCUAUUUCCACCAUAUCCGCAGUGACUUCCUCUACUGAAAUCUUGAAACCUUCAAAGUAAUCCAUGAUAAUUGGAAUCAACUUCUUCCAAACUCCUGUUAAUGUUGAUAUUUUGAUCUCCUCCCAUGAUUCAGAAAUGUUCUUAAUAGCAUUUAGAAUGAUGAAUCCCUUCCAGAAGAUUGUCAAUUUACUUUGCCUUAAUCCAUCAGAGGAAUCACUAUCUAUGGCAGCUAUUGUCUUAUGAAAUGUAUUUCUUAAAUAAUAAACCUUGAAAGUCGAAAUUACUUCUUGAUCCGUGGGCUGAAAAAUGGAUGCUGUAUUUGCAGGCACGAAAACAACGUUGAUCACUUCGCACAUCUUCAUCAGAGCUCUUCAGUAGCUAGGUACAUUGUCAAUAAGCAGUAAUAUUUUGAAAGGAAUCUUUUUUACUGAGCAAUGGUUCUCAGUAGUUAAUUUAAAAUAUUCAAUAAACCAUGCUGUAAACAUAUAUGCUGUCAUCCAGGCUUGGUUGGUUGUUCCAUUUCUAGAGCACAAGUAGAGUAGAUUUAGCAAAAUUCUUUAGGACCCUAGGAUAUUCAGAAUCUUCAAUGAGCAUUGGCUUCAACUUAAGGUCACCAGCUGCAUAAGCCCCUAACAAAGGAGAGUGAGUCUGUUCUUUAAAGCUUUGAAGUCAUGCAUUGACUUCUCACUAGCUAUGAAAGUAUUAGAUAGCACUAGCUAUGAAAGUAUUAGAUAGCAUCUUCUUCCAGUGGAAGGUUGUUUCAUCUACACUGAACAUUUGUCAUUUAGCGUAGCCACCUUCACCAAUUAUCUUUGCUAAAUCUUCUGGGUAACUUGCUGUAGCUUCUAUAUCAGCACUUGCUGUUUUACCUUGUGCUGUUACAUUAUGGAGAUAAUGUCUUCUCUCAAACUUCGUGAA